AGCUUUGCGCAGUGGCAGUAUCGUAGCCAAUGAGGUUUAUCCGAGGUGCGAUUAUUGCUAAUUGAAAAAAUGUGGUGAAUACUUAAUUUUAAAAAUUAUUACAAUAA
ensembl:snRNA U4 U4 spliceosomal RNA